rnacentral:lncRNA from 1 species
AAUAAGAUGCAUGCAUCUUUCAAUCUAGAGAUUGCAUAAUAGAUGUUAUACACUAUGAAUGAUAAAUCCAUUAAGCAAAAAUGUACUCAUGAAAAUUAACAAAUCAUACCAACAAUUGAAUUUUUCUCAUGAAUUUUUCUCUUUUCACAACAAUUGAGCUCAAUGCCUUUUACUUGCUUUUUUUUUUCAAUUUUCCCCCGUACAACCCCAAACUUGAACCUUUUCAUCGCAUACAAUUAAGCUCAUCCCAACUCAAGGUAAAUAUUUACAAGACAAGGGUUCACAUACUAUUUAAGGCUAAGGUUCAAAAAGGGUAAAAUAUUUUCAAGCACUUUGGGUGAAAAUUUGGCUAGAGAAGGGUUUUCAAAAAUGGCCUUGAUCAUAUGACAUUCACAUGCAAUUCAAUCGAUUAUCAAGAUUAAGGCAAUAUCAUCCAUGUUUUCCUGUGAACAAUGCAUACAACAAUAAAAAAUCUGGAGCUCAAAAUCUCACACACAUGCUUCCUCACACAAAUUCAUUCAUACACCAUGCCUAGCAUCAUGACCACAAUCAUAAAUUCAUCACCCAUCUAUUUCCUGGAUAUCAUCAUGCAUUACAAAUCAAUUCUCAUCCACAUCAAAUAAUCAUCAAAUAGAUCCAUCAUGCAAAUUAGUCAAACAUUUUCAGAACAAGUAAUAAAGCCAAGAAUACACACCAAAAUUAAAAUUCAACCUAUUCUAAUAAUUUAAAAUGCAAAAGUAUAAGAAGAAAUCUAGGUUGCCUCCUAGUAGCGCUUGUUUAACGUCACGAGCCUAGCCCAAACCUGGUUGGCACUUGUCAGUAAAUGAUCCAAUAUCGGACCUGGCGAAUAUCUGUCUCUCAAUCCCGGGAUUCCAAUCCAAAUUAUGCAUUUACUGAUCGCACUAGAUUUCUUGAUUUGCUGGGAGAGAGUAGAGAGUCAAGGUUCGUUGGCAAGUACUUCCUUUCUAUUAGUGCCACCGGAAAGGAUGAAAAGAGAUAAGAUGUUGGUGGUUAGCCUGCCCCGGACUCGUAAUUGAUGGCUAUGGGGCCUACCUAUGACUGAUUUCCCUUACAGGUCCUAAAGGCAUCAGAUGACUGGGCACAUAUCCGCCUCUGGUGAUUGGACAGAUGGAUCGAAUGCAGCAUAGGGGUCAAUGGUAGCAACAAAGAAAACAACUAAAAGCGACGUCCGUGCCCUAAUAAAUAAGGGGAAUUAAGCAUCCAUCGACGCUCACUUGUCUAUGUUCCCUAUGUCAGUCUCCUUUUUAAGGANCCUUCCUAGCUCUCUUAUUCAUUAUCUAUAUGAUAUGUGUGAUGCCGACACCUAAGAUAGAGAGAGUUACGACAACUAUAAUCAGAAUAAGAGGUUAUGAAGUAACUCGACUGAUAAGGAGAGGAAAGACCUCGGGCAUUGAAUCUCUGGCCUUAGCCUGCCUACCAGUCCUGAUCUCUUGCAAGAACAAAGGGAAGCACUAAGAAACUAUUUCAGCAUGCAAUUGGCAGAAAUUCUUCACCCGGAUGCUCUCACAGCGAUGCUGAAAAGGUNN